ACGGACCGAACACGAUCUGCGCUCCCUCCAAUCCUUCCACGCGUAACAACCUUGCCGAUCCGUGGGGGAUUCAAUCCCCAGAAACUCGGAUUUGUUGGCCACGACUAGUCUUUAGUGCAUAUACGUACCGCCCCACACUCCCUCUGUAACCCCUAGUGCUCCGCUGCCGCCUCCUGUAAUUCAUUGGGGCCAACAGGAUAGAUCGCCGCCGCCAGGAACAAAGGAAGUUAGCGCCUGCUGUGAGCUCGCGAUUGGGAUGAGAGAGAUGAGUUGCCGCGGGGAGCUAGGGAGCUCGGCCAGUGUUCGCGCUGGGCAUCUAAGGGGUCCUCGCGUGUCCGUCGACGCGAGGGCUGGGUUUCCUCGCCGCUGGGUGGCAGAGAUGUCCGCCCGCCGUCGUGGACCUGCGUGUCUGAUGACAUUGAAGCAUCGGCAACCAUCCUGGGAUGUUCCCUGGGACACAAGGACGGGGUACGCUGUAGCCAGACCAACUUUGGGGCCGGUGCCUAACCAAUUUCUCGUCGGCGUGGGAACAUCACCGCGGAUCUGCAGAGCACGUGGACCGAUGUCUCCUCACCAUCAUUCUCGGUAAGACUUGUUGCCACUGAUUCGCCGUGUUCAUAGCUUCGUGUAGCUCCAUUUAAUUUGAUGGUGGUGCUCGGGGGAGACCGAUUGGGUCACGGUCGAUCUCCUCCACCGCGCGGUCAUGGCGGAGGCGCCCCUGCUUGGUUGGCGGGGGAAGAUGAACGGCGACCGUUGAUCUGGCCUAGGUGGCCACGAUUAAAUGGUUCGUGUACCGAUUCGCUGGGUGAACCUGGGCCGUUGAUCAAAGAAUGGGCGGGCAAGAUUUAAUGUUAGGGAAUUAAGAUCUGGCCGUCGAUCUGGAAUCAAACGACCAGCGUGGUGUACCGGUUCAUUGGACGGAUGGGUUUAAUCGGGACCGUUGGAUUUAAUCCGAUGGCUGGAAAUACGUGAUACCCCUUCGCGUGGUAUAUUAGCUAAAGAGACCCUUACUUUUUCAGUAACUAACCCGCGGUCCAGUCCUGAGUUAACCUGAGUCUGGGGUAUCUUACACCGAGGCCCCUGACUUUUUCUGUAAUAGUGCGCCCAGUCCAGGAAUCAAUAAAAUCAGAGAAAUUCUUUCUAAAUUCAUUUUUAAUACAAAAAAAUAAUGGUAGAAACUUGUAUAAAUCAUAGAAGAUGCAUACUAAAUCCUUUUUAACCCAUUCCAGUUCCUAUAAUUUUGUUUUAAUAUUAUCUAUCAACUAGUAACACUAUUUAGCCUUGAAACUUGAAUUAAAAUUGUUCAUUUGAAUUAAUCUAAUCUAAGUACCUAAUAACUUCGGAAAUUCAUAAUUUCUUCGUUUUAACUCCGAUUUGAUCCGUUCAAGUUGCGUUAGUCUCGUAGCAACGCGUAGAUCAUUAUUAUGCAGUAUAUUCUUAUGUAUGGUGUGAUGUUAAUUUUAUCUAUACCAUGUUUGUUUGUAUUGCUACGACUAGCGCGAGGACACGUAUCAUCUGAAAAGCAAGUUGGUACCUGGAAUCUCAAGUGCCAGGCAAGUUGUGCCCUUGAUCACUUACUUUCCCAGCCAUGUUCUUAUUAAUUUUAAUGAUCUGCAUAGGAUAAUUUUGAUGGGAGCCUUUAUGUUACCCCAGUUUUGAUUACCUCUAUACCUUGUUCACCCCUGAAAUAUUUUUGGGUAGUACUUGCUAUUGCUUUAUGUGGAUUGGGUAUGGAGAUACACUAUUCAUGAUUAUUCUGUUAUUAACUUGUUAUUAUUAUUGUUCAUGUUAAGAUCAUUAAAUUAAUGGGAACAUGGAGCGACCACCCGGGAAAACAGUGCUACCACAAGGGUAUAAUGGGACGCCCUUGGCUGACUAAUUAGGAAAGCUAGUGGAAGACUACCUUACCCGAAAGGGGCAAGGGCAGUAGGGGAGAGGUCAGUGCGGGGAGGUCCCUGGUUGAUUUUGCUGCGAUGGCUGUCAGCCAGGAACCCUGUACUGGAUCUUCCUAUAAACUGUAGCGGGUUUUCGGAAGCUAGUGGAACUUUGUAAAGGCCUCGUAGUGGAUCCCUAGCCAUUCACCUCGGUAGUGUCUAAGGGCCUUGCAAACCCAGGCGACAUGGGAUACACGACUUGUGGGUAAAGAUGCGCAACCUCUGCAGAGUGUAAAACUAGUAUACUAGCCGUGCUCACGGUCAAGAGCGGCUCGGACCCUCACAUGAUUAAUUAUGGAACUUAAAUUCAAUUUGACAUUUGCAUCGCAUUUGGGAUUAUUUUACUAUUAUUGUUCUUUAUUAUUAUUAAGGUUUGGUAUUUACUUACACUUAGUAAUUGCUAAUAAAAUUUUGACCAACUUAUAAAAGCAAUGCUCAGCCUCAGCCUUUAUUCCAUUGAUCAGCCUUACACUUCAUGAACUCCCACCUUUAGUGAGUUCAUGCCACAUUAUUCCCCACAACUUGUUGAGCUAUGAACGUAUGUGAGCUCACUCUUGCUGUCUCACACCCCCCCCCCCCACACACAGGAGAAGAACAGGUGGUCGAAGAGGAGCCGCCUAACACUGAGGAGUUCGAUCUGAUCUAGGUGGCGUGUCUCGGUCGACAUUGGCGCCGACGAUCCUUAGUUCGCUUUAUCUUUAUUAUUUUAUUUUGUAAUAAGUCUUCCGCUAUGUAAUAAAUACUCUGAUGUUUUAUGACAUUUAUCUCUAUACACUCUGUUAUUAUAUAUGUUGUCUUCUUGGCGCAUGUAUGAGAUGCACCCGGCCUUGUCCUUUAAAACCGGGUGUUACAGAAGUGGUAUCAAAGGAAAUGUUGACUGUAGGACGAAACCUAGAUAGAAAUGGACAACCCUUACCUACUUAUCUCAUUCUGAUUCAUUCUAUACUUACCUUACUCUGACUUAUUCUAUACUUAUCUCAUCUUGAUCCUGUCUUACCUUCUAUUGUUCAACUCUGAUCAUUCUUACCUUCUCUAUCCACUAUGAUCUUUCUAAGAGAUAGGGAACCUAAGACAAAAUUUAAAACUAUUUUCUUUACUUAAAAAUGAUUGGUUGAUUGUGCUGAUGAUAAAUGCCUGAUUUGCUUCUUUGAUUGAUUGAAGUAUUAUAUAUUGGACAUCUUAGCAUGUACCACCAUAAGGUAAUGUAUUAGCUUUAGUGGAUAACACACUAAUCUACUUAGCUAAUAAAUCCCCCAUAGUAACAUUUCUUGUAAUUACUCACCUUGUCUACAAUUCUUUCUUUCUUACCCUGUGUUUCUAACCUAGAUGGGCUACCCCUAUAGUGUUAGAAGAGAGCACUAUAGACGUGAUCCUUGGUAUGUCAUGGAUUAAGAAAGGUAAAGGCAGUUUAUACACUGGUGCUAAGGGAACCAUAGGACUCACCAGUUCCAAAGGACAAAGAUUUGAAGUUGAAAUUGCGGUAACUACCACCAUCAGACUAGUGGCAUUCUUAGUCGAUGAGAAGUUUGUUGGUGACAACAUCCGUGUGGUUAAGGAUUUUCCGGAUGUCUUUCCAGAGGAGUUACCAGGGAUGCCACCCGAUACGGAAGUUGAGUUUGUCAUAGAUCUCUUACCUGGAACUGCUCCUAUUUCUAAAUGGACAUAUAGGAUGUCUGUAGAAGGGUUAAAAGAACUCAAGAAGCACUUAACGAAAUUACAAGAGGCUGGGUACAUUCGUCCGAGUCUUCACCUUGGGAGCACCGGUACUGUUUGUACAGAAGAAGGAUGGAUCGCAAAGGAUGUGUGUGGAUUAUAGGUCCCUUAAUGAUGUUAUCAUGAAGAACAAGUAUCCAUUACCCCGCAUGGAGGAUUUGUUUGAUCAGAUGAGAGGAGCCAGGGUAUUCUCGAAGAUUGAUCUCCGAUCGGGUUACCAUCAAAUGAAGAUUAGGCCAUCGGAUAUUCCCAAGACGGAUUCCUUGACCCGAUAUGGUUUAUAUGAGUUCACCAUUAUGUCAUUUGGAUUAACUAAUGCACCAGCUUAUUUUAUGAACUUAAUGAACAAGGUGUUUAUGGAGUAUUUGGACAGAUUCGUCGUGGUGUUCAUCGACGAUAUUCUCAUUUAUUCUCAGAGUGAUAACGAUCAUGAGGAACAUCUGAGGUUGGUGCUACAGAAGCUACGAGAUAACCAGCUAUAUGCCAAGUUCAGCAAGUGCGAGUUUUGGAUUGGCGAGGUGCCAUUCCUUGGAUAUAUUAUUUCUAAUGGAGGAAUAGCAGUGGAUCCUGCUAAGGUUAAGGAGAUAAUGGAGUGGAGAGUACCCACUACAGUUACUGAGAUUCGGAGUUUCUUGGGAUUAGCAGGAUAUUAUCGGAGAUUUAUUGAAGGAUUUUCUAAGAUUGCUAAGCCUAUGACUUCACUUUUGGAGAAAGGAAAAGAAUUUAAGUGGGACGAGAAGUGCCAAGAUAGCUUCGAUCAAUUGAAGAAAAGAUUGAUGUCGCCACCAGUAUUGGUUAUGCCAGACCUACAGAAGGGAUUUGAUAUUUAUUUUGAUGCAUGUGGCCAAGGCUUGGGAUGUGUGCUCAUGCAGGGACAUGUGAUCGCCUAUGCGUCUCGUCAGUUGCGGAAACAAGAGUUGAACUACCCCACUCAUGACUUAGAACUGGCAGCCGUUGGUGCAUGCACUUAAGAUUUGGAGACACUACAUUAUGGGAACUAAGUGCCAAGUAUACACGGAUCAUAAGAGUUUGAAGUACAUAUUCACUCAGAAGGAUCUCAAUCUUAGGCAACGCCGUUGGUUGGAGCUUAUUAAGGAUUACGAUUUGGAAAUUCACUAUCACCCGGGCAAGGCAAAUUUGGUUGUAGAUGCCUUGAGUCGAAAGGAGCAGGUUCAUUCAGCUGUUGUUGCCCAGCUACCCAAUGAGAUUGUUGAGGAUUUCAGGAGACUUAACCUGGGGAUAGUUGCUCACACUGAGGGAGUUAUUAUUGAUGUGGAACCUACCUUGGAGCAAGAAAUCCACAGAAAGACAGAUUGGUGAUGCUAAGAUACAAGAGAUUAGGGAUCUGAUUAAUGAAGGUCGAGGUCCGGAAUUCACGGACGAUGAGUAAGGCACAAUAUGGUUCAAGGAUCGGAUAUGUGUUCUGGAGAUUGAAAGCCUUUGUGGGACUAUUUUAAAGGAAGCCCAUGACUCGGAUUAUUCUAUUCAUCCUGGUAGUACCAAGAUGUAUCAGGAUUUGAAGCGGAAGUAUCAGUGGUAUAGAUUGAAGAGAGAUGUGGCUGCACAUGUGGCUAUGUGCGAUGUGUGCCAAAGAGUUAAAGCUAAACACCAGAGGCCAGCCGGACUAUUGCACCCACUGAAGAUACCUGAGUGGAAAUGGGAAGAAGUUGGCAUGGACUUCAUUGUUGGAUUACCCCGCACGUCUGCUGGAUAUGAUUCUAUAUGGGUGAUUGUGGACAGACUAACUAAAGUAGCCCACUUUAUUCCAGUGAAGACCACGUAUUCAGGAGCCAAGUUGGCAGAGUUGUACAUGACACGAAUUGUAUGCCUGCAUGGUGUGCCAAAGAAGAUUGUGUCAGACCGGGGGUCACAGUUUACCUCUCGGUAUUGGAAGAAGUUACACGAGUCAUUGGAUACGAGAUUGAAUUUUAGCUCGGCUUAUCAUCCACAGACUGAUGGGCAGACAGAGAGGACCAACCAAGUGCUAGAGGAUAUGUUAAGAGCUUGUGCUCUUAAACAUGGUGGAAGUUGGGAUAAGAAUCUACCUUAUGCUAAGUUCUCAUAUAAUAAUAUUUACCAGGCCAGUGUAAAAGAUGUCACCAUUUGAAACUCUGUAUGGCAGAAAAUGCAGGACUCCUCUAUAUUGGAUCAGACUAGAGGAAAACAGAUCUUUAGACCUGAACUUUUUCAAGAGGCAGAAGAACAAGUUCGUAUAAUUCGAGAGAAUUUGAGGGUAGCUCAGACCAGGCAAAAGAACUACGCUGAUAACAGAAGAAGACCACUGGAAUUUGAGGAAGGAGAUUAUGUGCACCUCAAGAUGUCACCACUCAGGGGUAUGAGAAGAUUUAAAGUCAAAGGAAAGUUGUCCCCUCGCUUUAUUGGACCCUUCUUAAUCUUAAAGCGAGUGGGUGAGGUUGCAUAUCAAUUGGAGUUACCGGAUCACCUUGCGGAUGUUCAUGAUGUCUUCCAUGUAUCUCAGCUGAAGAAAUGUCUUAGGGUACCUGAAGAACCGUUACCAAUGGAAGACCUUAGUGUUCAAGAGGAUUUGACUUAUACUGAGUACCCCAUCAAGAUUCUGGAUACACUGACUCGUGUCACAAGGAAUAAGGUUAUAAAGAUGUGCAAAGUUUAAUGGAAUCACCAUGGCGAAGAUGAAGCAACUUGGGAAAGAGAAGAAGAGCUUCACAUAGAUUUUCCCCAUCUUUUCCCUAGACCUUCAUAAAUCUCGAGGGCGAGAUUAUUUUUAAGGGGGGUAGGAUUUGUAAUACCCAAGUUUCUAAAUCAUAUUAAAGAAAGUAAUCCUCUUAUGUGAUAUGUCUCUAUAUCUUAAAACAUGUGAACAACCAUCUUUAAAAUGAUUGAUUAGCCAACCACCUAUAAAAUAUAUCAUGCAUCAUGCUGGAGUUAAUUGUUUGUGCAUUUAAUAAUAAUGAUAAUAUUAAUAGGGUUACUUUAAGAAUGGGAAUUAGGGAUUAAAACCUAAUUCAAAUCUUAGAAAAUUGGAAAUUGUAUAAGGGAAGGAAAAAAAUACUAAACGAUGCAAAAAAAAAUAAAUUUAUAAACAAUGGAUUCAUCCCAUACUCGAAUAUUCAAAAUUUCAUAUUUGAUCUGAGAACAAACUUGCCACAAAAAUUUGAAUUUGAAAUUGGAAUUCAAAAAUAAAAAGGGAAAAUAGAACAGAAAAUGUAAAAGAAAAAGGAAAGGGAAUAAGACCUAUUGGGCUGAAUCUAUCUUGGCCCAUUUACCCCAUCUCCACUGCGGCGGCAAAACCUAGCCGCCAGGCUCCUGCCGCACGGACUCAGUCUCUCAUCUCACCACCGCACGAGUUGCAGCUUGCCGCUCCCGUGUUCCGCUGCCUGUGGGCCCUCCCUCGCUUAGUCGUCUCCCUCGCGCGAAUCCCGCUCAGUGGGCGAAGGCACGAAGCUAACCAAACCGGCUACCUGAAGCUAUAUAAUCGAAGGCCGGAAUUCUCGGGCGUGGCACCGUCGUCGUCCAGCUCACUUCGUUGCAACCGAAUGUGUGGCGACCGCCAGGAAUCACGGACCGAACACGAUCUGCGCUCCCUCCAAUCCUUCCACGCGUAACAACCUUGCCGAUCCGUGGGGGAUUCAAUCCCCAGAAACUCGGAUUUGUUGGCCACGACUAGUCUUUAGUGCAUAUACGUACCGCCCCACACUCCCUCUGUAACCCCUAGUGCUCCGCUGCCGCCUCCUGUAAUUCAUUGGGGCCAACAGGAUAGAUCGCCGCCGCCAGGAACAAAGGAAGUUAGCGCCUGCUGUGAGCUCGCGAUUGGGAUGAGAGAGAUGAGUUGCCGCGGGGAGCUAGGGAGCUCGGCCAGUGUUCGCGCUGGGCAUCUAAGGGGUCCUCGCGUGUCCGUCGACGCGAGGGCUGGGUUUCCUCGCCGCUGGGUGGCAAAGAUGUCCGCCCGCCGUCGUGGACCUGCGUGUCUGAUGACAUUGAAGCAUCGGCAACCAUCCUGGGAUGUUCCCUGGGACACAAGGACGGGGUACGCUGUAGCCAGACCAACUUUGGGGCCGGUGCCUAACCAAUUUCUCGUCGGCGUGGGAACAUCACCGCGGAUCUGCAGAGCACGUGGACCGAUGUCUCCUCACCAUCAUUCUCGGUAAGACUUGUUGCCACUGAUUCGCCGUGUUCAUAGCUUCGUGUAGCUCCAUUUAAUUUGAUGGUGGUGCUCGGGGGAGACCGAUUGGGUCACGGUCGAUCUCCUCCACCGCGCGGUCAUGGCGGAGGCGCCCCUGCUUGGUUGGCGGGGGAAGAUGAACGGCGACCGUUGAUCUGGCCUGGGUGGCCACGAUUAAAUGGUUCGUGUACCGAUUCGCUGGGUGAACCUGGGCCGUUGAUCAAAGAAUGGGCGGGCAAGAUUUAAUGUUAGGGAAUUAAGAUCUGGCCGUCGAUCUGGAAUCAAACGACCAGCGUGGUGUACCGGUUCAUUGGACGGAUGGGUUUAAUCGGGACCGUUGGAUUUAAUCCGAUGGCUGGAAAUACGUGAUACCCCUUCGCGUGGUAUAUUAGCUAAAGAGACCCUUACUUUUUCAGUAACUAACCCGCGGUCCAGUCCUGAGUUAACCUGAGUCUGGGGUAUCUUACACCGAGGCCCCUGACUUUUUCUGUAAUAGUGCGCCCAGUCCAGGAAUCAAUAAAAUCAGAGAAAUUCUUUCUAAAUUCAUUUUUAAUACAAAAAAAUAAUGGUAGAAACUUGUAUAAAUCAUAGAAGAUGCAUACUAAAUCCUUUUUAACCCAUUCCAGUUCCUAUAAUUUUGUUUUAAUAUUAUCUAUCAACUAGUAACACUAUUUAGCCUUGAAACUUGAAUUAAAAUUGUUCAUUUGAAUUAAUCUAAUCUAAGUACCUAAUAACUUCGGAAAUUCAUAAUUUCUUCGUUUUAACUCCGAUUUGAUCCGUUCAAGUUGCGUUAGUCUCGUAGCAACGCGUAGAUCAUUAUUAUGCAGUAUAUUCUUAUGUAUGGUGUGAUGUUAAUUUUAUCUAUACCAUGUUUGUUUGUAUUGCUACGACUAGCGCGAGGACACGUAUCAUCUGAAAAGCAAGUUGGUACCUGGAAUCUCAAGUGCCAGGCAAGUUGUGCCCUUGAUCACUUACUUUCCCAGCCAUGUUCUUAUUAAUUUUAAUGAUCUGCAUAGGAUAAUUUUGAUGGGAGCCUUUAUGUUACCCCAGUUUUGAUUACCUCUAUACCUUGUUCACCCCUGAAAUAUUUUUGGGUAGUACUUGCUAUUGCUUUAUGUGGAUUGGGUAUGGAGAUACACUAUUCAUGAUUAUUCUGUUAUUAACUUGUUAUUAUUAUUGUUCAUGUUAAGAUCAUUAAAUUAAUGGGAACAUGGAGCGACCACCCGGGAAAACAGUGCUACCACAAGGGUAUAAUGGGACGCCCUUGGCUGACUAAUUAGGAAAGCUAGUGGAAGACUACCUUACCCGAAAGGGGCAAGGGCAGUAGGGGAGAGGUCAGUGCGGGGAGGUCCCUGGUUGAUUUUGCUGCGAUGGCUGUCAGCCAGGAACCCUGUACUGGAUCUUCCUAUAAACUGUAGCGGGUUUUCGGAAGCUAGUGGAACUUUGUAAAGGCCUCGUAGUGGAUCCCUAGCCAUUCACCUCGGUAGUGUCUAAGGGCCUUGCAAACCCAGGCGACAUGGGAUACACGACUUGUGGGUAAAGAUGCGCAACCUCUGCAGAGUGUAAAACUAGUAUACUAGCCGUGCUCACGGUCAAGAGCGGCUCGGACCCUCACAUGAUUAAUUAUGGAACUUAAAUUCAAUUUGACAUUUGCAUCGCAUUUGGGAUUAUUUUACUAUUAUUGUUCUUUAUUAUUAUUAAGGUUUGGUAUUUACUUACACUUAGUAAUUGCUAAUAAAAUUUUGACCAACUUAUAAAAGCAAUGCUCAGCCUCAGCCUUUAUUCCAUUGAUCAGCCUUACACUUCAUGAACUCCCACCUUUAGUGAGUUCAUGCCACAUUAUUCCCCACAACUUGUUGAGCUAUGAACGUAUGUGAGCUCACUCUUGCUGUCUCACACCCCCCCCCCCCACACAGGAGAAGAACAGGUGGUCGAAGAGGAGUCGCCUAACACUGAGGAGUUCGAUCUGAUCUAGGUGGCGUGUCUCGGUCGACAUUGGCGCCGACGAUCCUUAGUUCGCUUUAUCUUUAUUAUUUUAUUUUGUAAUAAGUCUUCC
rnacentral:lncRNA from 1 species